rnacentral:rRNA from 1 species
UGGCGGACGGGUGAGUAAUGUCUGGGAAACUGCCCGAUGGAGGGGGAUAACUACUGGAAACGGUAGCUAAUACCGCAUAACGUCGCAAGACCAAAGCGGGGGACCUCCGGGCCUCGCGCCAUCAGAUGAACCCAUAUGGGAUUAGCUAGUAGGUAAGGUAACGGCUUACCUAGGCGACGAUCCCUAGCUGGUCUGAGAGGAUGAUCAGCCACACUGGAACUGAGACACGGCCCAG